UAUCUGAGUUUUUCUGAGUCUUAGGUUCCGACGUGGGUUGGACGAUCUAUGCCUUUCACCUAAUAGGACCGAUCUCUGAAGACCUUCCGCCAGAAGAACAUCAACGACGGCUAACCUUUUGCUUCUCUGUUGACAUCAUCUUUGUUUCUGUGAUCUCUCUACAACUCUUUGUACCUAGGCCUCGGCGAAUCUUCGCUGACAACGCUUAUCAAGAUCGCCAAUCUGAAUUCCGGGAGUUGAUUGCAUGAUUCUCCUAUUUGUGUACCGAGUAAUGCUUUGGGUGAGGGAUGGAGCAGCUACCAUACCUACUACUCUUAUCAUUGCUUUUGCUACAUUGAAAUUGGUGGAUCCAUGUGACUGUUACUCCAUCCUCUCUUUCUCCGGAGUCGUCAUCGUCGACGUGAGCAACAACCCUUGUUGGUGGUGUCGACCGUCCUACCUGGAGCGAGAACUCUUGUUAGUGGUGUCGAGGUGAUCGACACGUCGCCUAAAAACUCGAUAGUUUAACCAACUCCCCCGUACCUUGAGGUGGAACCUCGGGGCGAGGUUCCUUGUUAGUGGUGUCGAUUGUAACGACCCGGAAAAACCUUAUAUUAGAUUUUUUUUCGCCUCUUCUUGUUUUUUUUUCCGAGUCGUUCCAAAGUCAUCCGCAUCAUGCAUACAUCAUAUACAUGCCUUUGACAAAAUAAAAGUUAUUUUAAAUAAACCCUAUUUCACUAUUUUAUUCUCAUAUGGUUCUAUAUGAGCCCUCCUUUAAUCUUUGCUUAUUUAACCAAAACCUUCUAGUUCUUAUUUGCAUUUAAAAUCCCAAAGAAAAAUAAAUAUUUUUUAAGCCUUGUAAAAUUGUUUUGCAAUGCAAAUAAAGCUUUUCAAAUCUUUCCAAACCCUCCUCUUUCUUGUCCAAGAAAUUCAGCAAGAGAAAGAAAAGAAGGGAGCUAUUCUGGAGAAGAGGAAAGUAGCCAGGGAACCAACAUGCCAGACUGAAUCGCCUUGCUGGUUGUCUUCUGUCAUGCAAGGCGCGUGACCACGACGUCCUCCGUGCUGGCUGUGCGCUCCUCCUCCACCACUUCCUCCCACCUGCUCCUCCUUAUCCCUAACCAGAUCCCCAAGUGAACCCUAGUCUUCCUCCUCUACCUGCCGCCCUCUUUCCCUUCUCCACGGCAACAUCGGGCACAAAAUCUUCUUCAGAAAAUCCAGCUAAGACACCAAGUUUCGCCGGAGAUAAAUCCACGCGUCUCCGCCGUUCCUCGCCGCCCUCUGCCGUGCUGACCACGAGAAUGGAGCCCCCGUGGCCUCGUCUUCCUCCUCGCUGAGUUCCUGGAGCAGGUGCAGUUCCUGGACGCCUUCUUCGACCUCGUCUUCUUCCUUGAGUCAGCCCGUCCUCUUCCUCUUCUCUGAUGACUCCCACGUCCUCGAGCUCGCCCACUUCGUCAUCAAACCCAGGCUAAAACAAUCUUCAUCAGUUUGUCUCCGUCGGCGUGCAAAGAUUAUUCUGCGUCUUGGAUUGGAUGGUGUUCGCGAGCACCCUCUUUUGAUCAGCAACCGGAGCAUUUGCUUCUUCCCGGAUAGGAUCACGAAGUGGUGUGGUGAGAUAUGACGAGUUCUCCGACAAGUUCUUCUGCAGCUUUUCACAGGCGAGCCCUCUCUCUUCACCUAUUUUAUAUUUUGCUCUCCCUCGCACUGCUAUACAUAGGUUGCGCUUCUUUAUCGAGUCACGUGUCCUAUUCCACUUGUUACCAUAAUAAUCCUAUAUGUAUCAUUCCUUACCCAUAGCCGUUGCUUGAUGUUUGAGCCUUGCGAGUCGUAGGCGUGUUUAGGCUUUGUUGUUUAUCUCGAUCUGUUAUCGGGAUAUGUUGGGUUGUUGGGAGGUUAUCACAUGUUAUAUCAG